UCUAACUUUAUUUCUAACCUUGUAGAUUUAUCCAUAAAUUGAGUGUGGAUAAAGGGAAUGAUCACAUUUAUGGAUUUUUGGAACCCGAGUUAAUCCAAAAAAUUGGGAACAAGACAGAAGAAAUUCAAGCUUACAUCCAAAAUUGGAUGUCUGAAUCAAAUAAAAAAGUUUACUUAGUUCCUUACUUUUCUAAUGCUCAUUGGCAACUUCUGAUUAUUUGUCCUAUGGACAAUAUAUCUGUAUGCAUUUGUUCGAUGCACAAACCUCCUCCUGCAGAUUUUAAACAAUUAUUAGAUAAGGCUAUGGAAGGAUACCAUAUGCUUAAAGGUUCAAAGUUGAAGAAAAAAAUGCUUUGGGUCUCUCUUAAAUCUCAUAAGCAAAAAGGAAACUAUGAGUGCGG